AGCCUCCCAAGCCUCCCAAGCCUCCCCAGAGAGAAAACAGAGGAACUUUCUCUUGUUAGAUCUCAAAGACGUGCAGAGGGAUGUCUUAGGAGGCAGCUGCCACCACCACUGCCACAGACCUCUGGGAGACAGGGUGUCACCGUCAGAAUAGGGGCUGGCCCCUCUCCUACCUAAGGAUAAAACUCGAUGCACAUUUAAAGUCAUUAAUGGAAAGCAGGCUGCAUUGAAGGGGACAAGCUGUGAUCUCAGCAAAGAGUUUGUUCAAAUCCACAUGUCGUCCACCUAAAUGAUCUCAUUGUCUUCUCGUGAGAACGCUGUGACCUAGUGCCACUGUUCCCGCCUUGUACCAACAAGGGCAACUGAGGCUCAGGGAGACAUAUUUGCUCCUGCUCCUUGGACAACAGUGGUCCAGGCAACAGGUUUUCCUUCAGGCCCCUCGCUCUCUG